GAAGGUGGAGGCGGGCUCUGGCCAGGUGCAGAAGGUGGGGGCGGGCUCUGGGGAGGCGCAUGAGGUGGAGAAGGUGGAGAAGGUGGAGGCCGGCUCCGGCGAGGAGGAAGCGGAGCAGAAGCAGCAGGAGGAGGAUCUUCUGGGCAACAAGAGGAAGUGGGACAAGACUGGGUUCUACCCAUAUG